ACCCAGAAAACUGGCUCGAGACUCUCUCUGUGUCGUGCUGCAGACCAUCGACUGAAGACACAGAAAACUGGCUCUGUACUCUCCCUCUGUGUCAUGCUGCGGACCAUCGACUGAAGACCCAGAAAACUGGCUCUGUACUCUCCCUCUGUGUCAUGCGGCGGACCAUCGACUGAAGACCCAGAAAACUGGCUCGAGACUCUCUCUGUGUCGUGCUGCAGACCAUCAACUGAAGACCCAGAAAACUGCCUCGAGAUUCUCUCUCUCGUUCUGCGGAUCAUCGACUGAAGACUCGGAAAAGUCGCUCGAGAUUCUCCCUCUGUGUCAUGCUGCGGACCAUCGACUGAAGACCCAGAAAACUGGCUCUAUUCUCCCUCUGUGUCAUGCUGCGGACCAUCGACUGAAGACCCAGAAAACUGGCUCGAGACUCUCUCUGUGUCGUGCUGCAGACCAUCGACUGAAGACACAGAAAACUGUCUCUGUUUUGUGCUGCAGACCAUCGACUGAAGACACAGAAAA